rnacentral:misc_RNA from 1 species
AAGUCGUAACAAGGUUUCCGUAGGUGAACCUGCGGAAGGAUCAUUAUUGAAAUAAACCUGAUGGGUUGCUGCUGGCUCUCUCGGGAGCAUGUGCACACUUGUCAUCUUUAUAUCUCCACCUGUGCACCUUUUGUAGAUCUGGAUAUCUUUCUGAAUGCCUGCAUUCAGGUUUGAGGAUUGACUUGUCUUUCCUUACAUUUCCAGGCCUAUGUUUCUUCAUAUACACCAUGUAUGUUAUAGAAUGUAAUGAAAAGGGCCUUUGUGCCUACAAACUUAUACAA